rnacentral:lncRNA from 1 species
UUUCUGAAGGCAGGGGGCACUGCUUUUAAGGCGACACCAAUCAGAAACGAAACGUUCCUUCCACGAGGCACGCGUGUGAAUCCUUUCCAUUCCCCUUUGCCCUCCAUCGUGUGUUCCGGUGGGUCCUCCCACCUGCGAGUCCCAUUUCCAGAGCCUCCCGGGGGAAGAACCCGCUCUCUGCGGCUCCUCCGCGGAGUCAGGGGCAGGAGCGGGCGAGGCCCGGGCAGCCACUGCCCCCGAAAGGAGACACGCCAGUCUUGGCGCCGCCGGAGCCGAGGGAGCCCAGGGAGCCGAGGGAGCGGAGUCCAGCUCCGUCCGAAGAAUUAGGGAGACGUGAGGCCCAACAGCGGUCUCAGAACUGGAGGGCCACGCGAGCGGGAGCACAGAAGUCCACCGUUCUUACGGAGGCAGUCACCGAACCUUACGGGAAGGAAAGGGCCCCUCCCGUGGUUUGAGCGCAGCCACGGCCAAGCGCAUCUCCACUCAGAGGGAAGGGGGGAGAAAGGGCAAGCGCCCGUCCGGGAGAUCGGCGGGGGAAACACGGGGCGGUAAAGUCGUGAAGGCUCCGAGCCGAUGAAGAACCGCGUCUUCCCGGCCCACCUCCCGAGCGCUCUAAACCGUCUCGCCUCCAUUCCAGUGUUACCAGUGAUGUCAGAAGUCACACAGCGACCGUGCUGCUGCCAAGCCGUGAGCUCACUCUCAUUACACACCAGCAAUACAUAAAGCUCCAGUUUCAGCCUGAUGAAAAGAAUGUAGGAUUUGACAAGCUUCUAACUACAAAUUUAGCCGCUCAAGAGGAAAAGCUUGGAGGCUGGUUUAAGAAUUUAGAAUUAGAAUAAGCCACUGUUCGAGGCCUGCAACCUCAGGCCUCGGCCCAGCGCCAGCAUCCUCAGCUAGAUCGGUCCUAUUGCCAGGAGGCCUGAGGGGAGUGUCAGAGAGGAGCAGCACCUGCAUCCGUGGGACACAAGCACCAUCCGCGGACCUCUCAAGGACCAUCCAAAAUGACUGCAUUUUACAAACUUGUCUUCUAGUAUUCGGUGCUUCUGGUCAUCACUCCGUCCUUGCACUCCACACCACCCCCCAACCCCCAGUGCAGCCUGACACCCCAGACAGCCAGAGACAGAGCAGGGUAGACCCACCAAAGCUUCUGGUAGUUCUUCAGCCCAGACCCAGUGAAAGCCACACAGCAUCUAGUGGACGCUUUUUUAAAAAGCUCAGAUAAAUAGCUCAGAUACUAUAAAAUACCACAGAAAGAAAUGUCAAAGCCCCAAUCCUUCGCCUAUAUACAUUAAGCUACUUAAAAGUGGCAUGGCCUCUAGAAAACCCUAUUAUUGACUGAAUUUUCUUCACUGUGAUGGGAAUAAAGACUAUAUGUGUAGCAAAAAAAUAUUUUCACAUGUAGGACUCAAAAUAUUCUUGCAGCAUAGAACAUUCCAAGCCAUUUCCUUAUAUGCAAAACAGGUUUUUUAAAAAGCAGGAAAACAUUGACAAUAUUCCUAAAUAUUGUCUGCAAAUACUAAUAGUGUUCUAUUCCUGUGUUGUGAUUUGGAUUUUAAUUUGUCACAAUAGCAUGUUUCUAUAGUUGUAUGAGAAGACAUGUGUGUUUGGCCUUUCUCUUCUAAAAUGAAUAAAACCUGAAUUUUGUGUAUUUUAAAUCUUAAAAGUAAAAUGUUCUUCAAAUAAUAGGAGACUAUCUUUGAAAAACAAGUGCCUGACCAGCACUUAAAGCAGUAAAACUGAUGUUAAAAGAUGUCACCUACUUAGAUUACAAGUUAGGCACCAAGUGUUCCAAACACAAGGAAAAAAAAUUCCACUCCAGGAGGAGCCAGAAAGAGUCCCUAGAACCCAAUGUUUGUCAAAAAAAAAAAAAAAAAAAAAA